CUUCCCCCAUUUCUUUUUCAUAAUGGUCCAGCACUCGUUCUGCAGCCUUUUUAUACCAUCUCCUCUCUGAGGGAGGUGAAGACAGCAUUUGGUUCUGAAGCAACACCGAAAGAAGUGCUUUGCCCAGGUGUAGGAAGCAUGCCAUGGGUUUGGUGGCUAAAUCUGCGGACAGAAUGAAGGGCAGGUCACAGGGCGGGGUGGCAGGUUGCUGGAGAAGGAACCCUAUUUAACCCCUGUGAGAGGAAAAGGCUCCAUCCUGUCCUGUUGAGCCCGUCCAGAGGCCAUCCCGACCGUCCUGCCGUGGGGUGCCAGCCUCAGCCGGGCACGCCGCCCCGGCUCCUCGGCAGCCUCCAGAGCACAGCCCUUGGUCUGGGGGCUCCUCUCCACAGCACCUCACCCGCCUUGUGCGGCCCGGCCGCGGCCUUCACAGCCCGCUUAAAUGGCCCGGCUUGCGUAACUUGCAAGAGCUCAGAGCUACCGAAGGGCAGGCUUCUGCCAAAUCCCUGCCCUCCCGCGGGAAGCGAAUUAAAUCCGGCAGAAAUCACUGGAGCGCCACUCGCUUUGGAGAGCAGGCGCCCAACCCAGGCAGGCCUGCGUGCGCGGCGCUGGUCUUCAGCCACAAACCGAGCCUGGAAACCUGAAAACCCCUCCUCGACUGAAAGAUCAAAGUCGCAAAAACUUAAAGAGAGUGACUGCUUUAAUGACAGAAGGCACGGAAUUUUAACAUGAGCAUCCUGAAGGUCUCAGUGGAGCACAGGCCCAAAGAAGCCAAGUCAGUUUUAAUUCAACCUCACGUGCUUUGAUACAGCCACAGGACAAAAGCGUUAGUGGUCUCUAGUUUGUUUAUGACUGACUACAUAUGCUAGAAUGUGCUCUGCCAAAACUCAUUGCUAAAACAAAAACCAGCGUUCAAAUGGCACAAAACUUCAUAAACCAAAUAAACAACACAUUGCAAACAUUUCAGGCUUCCAAGCAAAGGUUACUUCCGUAAAUUCCAACAUCUAAAUUGGCUACAAAACGUUUCAGACACCGAAAUAAAUGACUGGCUAAAAAAUCACCAUCAUCCUCAGUAUUUCAAACGUUUCAUUUUUCUGUUAUCCUGAAACAUGCAGAGCACCCAAAUUAUAACUGAGUAAAUAUACAUGUCCCUUCCUAUUUAAAACAAACAAACAAAAAAAUUUGAAACAUUAAAUUUGAAUCUUUCUGCUUAACCCAGGACUAGAAAACUGUCAGCGCUGAAAAUUAGUUUCACAGAGCCUUAAUGCGUCUGAAAAUGGCUUAUUUGCUACACAUGACAAGCAAAUUCUGAAAUAAAGGGAAACCCUUUCCCUCAACAUGCACACUAAUAUUUUUCUUUCCUGAAGGUUGGAUUACUUCCAGAGAACCUGAACUGACUUCAGUGGAGCGAUAAUGUAUUUCUUAGGAAGAACAUGUAAACUGCCUCAGAUCACAAGAAAAUGGUUCAACCAAGAAAGGGCUUUACUCAGCUCUUCUAAAUAUACCAAAGAAUCACACUUAAGUGAUAUUUUUUUAAACAAUUAGGGCUUGACUACACCAACAGCUAUAUCAGCUGAUAUAUAGAUAUAUAUUACACUAAACAGGAAUGAGACACUUUCUUCCUGGAGUCAUUCCAAAAAAAAUGUGAGCAUACUGUAAAUUCCACUUUUAACUUCAACCCAUGCUGCCAGUAAGUGUAAAUACAUUUUUGCAAAGUUUAAGGUAUUUAUUAAAGUACUAGCAGGACUUUCUUUUCAAAUUAACCAGAGAUACUUCUCAGGGCAGAGUAUGGUGAAAAUGAGAAAAGUCACCAUACAGAAGGACAAUUUAUAAUAGCAAAACCCAAACGUAUACAACUUUAAGUACUACUUCCAAAGUGAAGAGACACCCCAGAAUUAAAACACUUCCUAAAUUUUAAUUUUUUCAGCAGAGGAAAAAUGUCCAAACAACCUAUGAAAAUAAGAUAAUUUAACAGCAAAUGUCUGCUCAUCAGCAUCACAAACACAGCUGUGACAGCCAGGACCAAGAUGUGCUUUAGGAGACACCUAUACCAACAAGGAAAACAUUCACCAGAAAUCAAUGUCUUCAGACCAGGAAAACUCCACUGGCUCUCAGAAAAGGGCAUAAAAAAAGAUUUCACAAAAGCUUGUAAAUUAGUUUAUAGUUAAACUUAUAAACAAGAAUCAUUUAGGAAGUUAUAAAGGAAGACUCACCCAAAUGAUAUUCUACGCACAUGAGAAAGAUUUAUGUCUAUUUUAUGUAUGGGUGAGCCCAAGCAGUCAGCACAAGCCUGUGUGUACAGACUGGCUGAGCUAUCAGCUGGCCCACUGCACUCUCUGAAGUUUCUGCCUGAUAGCAGAGCUGAGAUAACAAGUUCACAGCCCACCCUUACCUAACCUGGGCUCACUCCAAUGGGUCAGUCACAGCCUUCAUAGCAGCAAUGCCGGUGUUUGUGGAGCCAGGCAGCAAAACUGCCUGGACUUUAAUCCCCUACCCCCACCAAAAGAGCUGUUGGGUCUAACACAUCCUUCCAGAGAUGAUGUUUUUAGGACCCAUAAAUCUGCCUCAGCAUGGCAGAUGACUCAAUAUACCACACUAGAGGACAAACGUUUUUGUGCCUGUGCUCCAUCAAGAACAGCUCAAGUGUCCCACCACUCCCAGUGCUGGGACAAGGGGCUGCUUGUGUAGCUGUUCUCCAAAACCCAUUCCUGAAGUGGCACCACCAAGAAAGUCCCGCCUUUCCUCACUCCCAAAACACUGCCAAGGUCCAGAUAAAGUGCAGGUAUCUCAAAACUUCAUGUAAGGUUGCAUUUCCACAUUACUAAGGACAUAACAUGACUAACUUUAUGAACCAAGCAGCCCAAUUCCAACAUGUCCUGGCACUAGUAGAAAGUAUUUCCAAUGUGAAGGACCACAUUCUGUCCAAUGGAAAACUGAAAGACACACACAAAAGCCAUAAAUAAAAGCGGAGCUCUUGCUUAAACUGAAAACUCCAAGUAACCAGAAACUGGGAAAUUAAACAAAAGCCACUUUUACACUGCUACAUGGCCUUUCAUCAGAAGAUCUCAGGGAACUGAGCUAGUCUGAAAAAGCUCCUGGUCCUGGACCACAGGACAUGAAACAAAAACGGUGCUUAGAUAUCAAGCAAGAGAGUAUUUUAUCAUGCAGUUUCUGGAUGUGAACUCUUUAAAGACAAAUAUCUCAACUCUGAAGUCGCAGUUCCACACAGGACAAAGGCGCCUGUGCGCAAGUCCCAGCUUGCAGCCUCAAAGCCCUGUUUGUUCACCCAGAACAAUGGGGCAUGUGACUUGUCAACACUACCCACAAUAAAAACAAUAAGAUAAGGCUGCCACUGAUUUCACGAUGACCGACUUUGUUUUCACUAAUUUUAAGUCACACUGUCAAUAAAAACUUCUUGCAUAAAACCCCUUAUUUUGAAAAGCCCAAAGCCAACCCCACCUUGCGCCGAGGUUUUCACUCCAAACUCCUCAGCUUUUUGUGUCUUUACUAAAUGCUCACACCAACUCCCUCCAAAGCCUCCGACUUCAACAAGAGUUGGAUCAAUGCUAUAUGCCUAGAGCCAAGAUUAUUUUUAUCGUGUAAAAGCACUGCCAAAAUUUGUCCUCCGCAUUUCCUGCCCUGUGUGCCCAUCCCAAGCACCCAUGUGCCCGCAGGCAGGCCCCUCGCUCACCUCCUGCUCGCUGCCAGGGGCACACACAGGAAAAUGAGACUUCCCCAGCAGCCCAGCAGGUUCUGCUCCACCACUGACUCAGGCUGCAUCAUCCAAACCCAUUCAACCCCUCCAGCCCAAGAGGGCUACCCAGGACCGAGUCCUGCACAUCAACUUAACUAACAUUUUGAGAAAGAGGAAGAAAGCAGAGAAAAUCCAGAGAACAGAAACAAAAAGGCAUCAAUUGGAUUUAAAGGACUGACAAGAGAACGGACGGGAAGAAAGCAAAAGUCCAAAAUAACAAAAAGGAGAGAAAGCCCAGGACAAAAAAAAAAAAAAAUAGGUGGGGAAUGAUUAGAAAAAUCAAAUAAAGCCACAGGAAGAAUAAAACGGUGCAAACUGUCAGGGUGGACACAAAACACUCCAGUUCACUACACUUAUUUGCCACUUUCCCUCUACAGCGGGACAAGGGAGCCAAGAGGAGAAGGCAGAGCCACCCUGACACUUGGAAGGGGUUAAUUCAGAAAGAAAAAAGCAGCAUAAUCUUGCACCACUUGUCUUUUUAUCACACGGGGGGAGGCUUGGGGGGUUAUUUUAAUUACACAGAACAGCAGUAGGUCCAGCAGCACCAGAUUAACAAAUACAAGUAGGCAGCAACAGGCACACGGAAGUACAUUGCAGUUCCAAACUUUCACCAUUUACAGCAACAUUAACACAAAUGAAAUCUGACUAACCUGAUCUCUGAAUGUGUUUUUAAAACCUGUGCAUUUCUUUCAUUUCACCUUGAAAAACUCCGUUCCGCAAGCAGGUAGUUACAGGCCACAGCUGGGAAAGCGGGAGGCACAUUAAGCACGCAAAUGAAAUUUCACAUAUUCUAACACCAUCAGUGGAGCUUUCUGGAGCUCUGCAGCAGUGUCCAACACACACAAGCCUUGCUGCCGGCACAACAGACAAAUCUCAGCCUACGUAAGGGACGCUCUCCUAGCCGGAGUCUGACACUGCAUUUCACAUACCCUCCGAGCCUCGCGUAUGAAGUCACCCGUAGCGUCAAAGAGCGAGUCAAAACACAUCGAGAGUGUUUUCCCUGGCUACCUCUGAAAGUUUCCAUCCCUUUAUCUUUUGUGUAUUUUUUUUUUUUAAUUCUUCCCACCAUUUCUGUCGACACACAGGAUCUCUAGAAGUCCCCAGUACAUGCAAGCAGUGAGUACCUCUCUAACAUAGGACCCCAGCUGUCUCCAGGCACUGGGACAACAGCAGACUGAUGGGAAAAUUGAAUUUGGUGCUUUCACAACUGGCCCACAGAACCACACAGAGAGAGGGUUCAUUUCUUAAGACAAAAACAAUUCCCAUCUUACCAGAAAAUAAUACACCUGGGGAGGGCUGUGGUGCACCUCAACGGGAUGACCCAGAGGUCAAGAGGGCUUUUUGUUUUAUUUUAAUAGAAGAGACUCUUACACACUAAAUACAUUAAAAAUUAAGUUUUAUUUUAUGUACUGUAAGAAAGAAUCUUACAAAGGACCUUGAUGAACUAGGAAUAACUAAUCCAUAUCAAAAUAACCUUGCACGUGUAGACAGCACAAGAACCAACUAACGUGGAUUUUGCCAACAGCAAGAUAACAUUGAUAUUUCUAAUGUAAUCAAAGGCCAUUCACAAUCUGCCCUGGAAGACAUUCACAGAAAUACAAAGCAUUUUUCUUACAACUCAAACAACUGUGACAAGUAUUUACUAUAAAGCCAAAAGUUGUUAGAAAAAAAAAAAAAACAACAAGAAAAAUAAGUCAGUUUCUAUUAAUUAGCUACAUUUAGAUAUCCUUUCCUGCUAUCAGACCAAGCUCACCAAAACUGCUUAGCAGGUUGUUUCAUUGUGUUUGUGUUCAAGUUUUGUCACAACUCAACAUAUUGAAGUUUCAUAUUGCUGAUUUUUUUUAUGCCCACAAUGCUAGAUACUUACAGUCUAAACAAGACACCAGAUUGUGAAAUUUAGUUGUGCAUUCAAAAUGAAGUGGAAAAAUCAGGUACCAUGUCGGCAUCAGGAAAACAUUCAUGUUGUUCUGAAAAUAUAGACCCCACUUCUAUAAACCCCAGAUUUGUUGCACUAGCAAUGGGAAACAGCUAAUCCAUUGCUACACAAGAUAGGUUUCUAGCACAAUUUGAUGUCAGCAUUAAUAGACAGUUUGACAACACCAUCCCUCAUUUUCCUCCAUACACAUUCAUGCUAACUUUGCUUUAUAAGUGCACUAAAAAGUAUAAAAUCUGAAGAAAUGCAACCCCAAAGUCAACACAUUACAGAAUCACAAACAUCAUCAUGGCAAAAAACUGUAUUUUUACAAAGCACUUCCCAAUUAAAAUUUAUCUCCAAGAGUCUGUGUUUAGGAAAGUGUGUUUGUGUUGAUACACAAGCAGGAAUUUCUGCACGAGAGAAGAAUGUGGACAUCCAUACAAAAAUUAGUGGUGAUUCAUUGUUUAACAGUUGUCUUCCCUUUACAGCACACCGCAGACUGAAGGACACGUUGCCAAACUGAGAGCACCAAUACUUCCUUUAACCUAAUAUAGGACAAAUAAAUACACUUCAACAGCUUCUAAAUCUUGCACGUCCUACUUUUUUGACCCAGAUCUCUUGUUAUUUCCCCCAUAGGUCUAUGCAAUAUCAAAACUAUUUUUUCCCCACAAAUUUAGACAUAACCUAAAAGAGGAAAAGUUCUCAUGCUUACUGUG